GAUGAACGCUAGCUACAGGCUUAACACAUGCAAGUCGAGGGGAAACGCUGAGAGAUCUUGCUCUCUUAGGCGUCGACCGGCGCACGGGUGAGUAACGCGUAUCCAACCUACCCAUUACAGGGGGAUAAGCUUGCGAAAGUAAGACUAAUACCCCAUUGCAUAUUAUGGUGGCAUCAUUAUAGGAUUAGAGAUUUAUGUGUAAUGGAUGGGGAUGCGUUUGAUUAGCUUGUUGGCGGGGUGACGGCCCACCAAGGCAACGAUCAGUAGGGGUUCUGAGAGGCAGGUACCCCAGAUUGGAGCUGCGACCCAGACUAAACUGCGACGCGACGCAGCAGUAAGGAAUAUUGGGCAAUGGGGGAGAGCUUGAACCAGCCAAGUAGCGUGCAGGAUGACGGCGCUAUGGGUUGUAAACUGCUUUUAUAGGGGAAUAAAGUGAGCUACGUGUAGUUUAUUGAAUGUACCCAAUGAAUAAGGACCGGCUAAUUCCGUG
rnacentral:rRNA from 1 species